UACGUAGGGCGCAAGCGUUAUCCGGAAUUAUUGGGCGUAAAGAGCUCGUAGGCGGUUUGUCGCGUCUGCCGUGAAAGUCCGGGGCUCAACUCCGGAUCUGCGGUGGUUACGGGCAGACUAGAGUGAUGUAGGGGAGACUGGAAUUCCUGGUGUAGCGGUGAAAUGCGCAGAUAUCAGGAGGAACACCGAUGGCGAAGGCAGGUCUCUGGGCAUUAACUGACGCUGAGGAGCGAAAGCAUGGGGAGCGAACAGG
rnacentral:rRNA from 1 species